GACGAACGCUGGCGGCGUGCUUAACACAUGCAAGUCGAACGGAAAGGCCCUGCUUUUGUGGGGUGCUCGAGUGGCGAACGGGUGAGUAACACGUGAGUAACCUGCCCUUGACUUUGGGAUAACUUCAGGAAACUGGGGCUAAUACCGGAUAGGAGCUCCUGCUGCAUGGUGGGGGUCGGAAAGUUUCGGCGGUUGGGGAUGGACUCGCGGCUUAUCAGCUUGUUGGUGGGGUAGUGGCUUACCAAGGCUUUGACGGGUAGCCGGCCUGAGAGGGUGACCGGCCACAUUGGGACUGGGAUACGGCCAGACUGCUACGGGAGGCAGCAGUGGGGAAUAUUGCACAAUGGGCGGAAGCCUGAUGCAGCAACGCCGCGUGCGGGAUGACGGCCUUCGGGUUGUAAACCGCUUUCGCCUGUGACGAAGCGUGAGUGACGGUAAUGGGUAAAGAAGCACCGGCUAACUACGUG
rnacentral:rRNA from 1 species